ACUCCUACGGGAGGCAGCAGUGGGGAAUAUUGCACAAUGGGCGCAAGCCUGAUGCAGCCAUGCCGCGUGUGUGAAGAAGGCCUUCGGGUUGUAAAGCACUUUCAGUCGUGAGGAAGGUAGNGAGUUAAUAGCUGCAUUAUUUGACGUUAGCGACAGAAGAAGCACCGGCUAACUCCGUGCCAGCAGCCGCGGUAAUACGGAGGGUGCGAGCGUUAAUCGGAAUUACUGGGCGUAAAGCGCAUGCAGGUGGUUUGUUAAGUCAGAUGUGAAAGCCCGGGGCUCAACCUCGGAAUUGCAUUUUGAAACUGGCAGACUAGAGUACUGUAGAGGGGGGUG
rnacentral:rRNA from 1 species